rnacentral:rRNA from 1 species
AGCGAGAAUACUUCCGCAAUGGGACGAAAGCCUGACGGAGCCACGCCGCGUGAACGAUGAAGGCCUUCGGGUCGUAAAGCUCUGUUGUUAGGGAGGAACAAGUGCUAGUUUAUUAAUUGGGCCCCUUACCGUACCCAAACCAAAAGCCCCCGGCUACUUACUUGCCCCCACCCCUAGAAAUAAAAAA